GACGAACGCUGGCGGCGUGCCUAAUACAUGCAAGUAGAACGCUGAAGAGAGGAGCUUACUCUUCUUGGAUGAGUUGCGAACGGGUGAGUAACGCGUAGGUAACCUGCCUUGUAGCGGGGGAUAACUAUUGGAAACGAUAGCUAAUACCGCAUAACAACGGAUGACACAUGUCAUUUAUUUGAAAGGGGCAAUUGCUCCACUACAAGACGGACCUGCGUUGUAUUAGCUAGUAGGUGAGGUAAUGGCUCACCUAGGCGACGAUACAUAGCCGACCUGAGAGGGUGGUCGGCCACACUGGGACGGAGACACGGCCCAGACUCCUACGGGAGGCAGCAGUAGGGAAUCUGGGGCAAGGGGGGCAACCCUGACCGAGCAGCGCCGCGUGAGGGAAGAAGGUUUUCGGAUCGUAAAGCUCGGUUGUAAGUCAAGAACGGGUGUGAGAGUGGAAAGUUCACACUGUGACGGUAGCUUACCAGAAAGGGACGGCUAACUACGUG
rnacentral:rRNA from 1 species